UACGGAGGAUGCAAGCGUUAUCCGGAAUGAUUGGGCGCAAAGCGUCCGCAGGUGGCUAUGUAAGUCUGCUGUUAAAGAGUGAGGCUCAACCUCAUAAGAGCAGUGGAAACUACAUGGCUAGAGUGCGUUCGGGGCAGAGGGAAUUCCUGGUGUAGCGGUGAAAUGCGUAGAGAUCAGGAAGAACACCGGUGGCGAAAGCGCUCUGCUAGGCCGCAACUGACACUGAGGGACGAAAGCUAGGGGAGCGAAUGGG
rnacentral:rRNA from 1 species